UCCGUAGGUGAACCUGCGGAAGGAUCAUUAUUGAAUAUGAUUGGUACUGAUGCUGGCUCUUAACUGAGCAUGUGCUCGUCCAUCUAUUUAUCUUCUCUUGUGCACAUUUUGUAGUCUUGAACGUACCUCUCGCAGUCAAAUGCGGUUUGGGAGCUUGGGCGCAAGCCCUUCUCCUGCUUCUUCAAGGCUAUGUUUUCAUAUACACUAUAAAGUUACAGAAUGUCUUUUAACGAUUGCGCUUGUCGUAGUCAUUAAACCUAUACAACUUUCAGCAACGGAUCUCUUGGCUCUCCUAUCGAUGAAGAACGCAGCGAAAUGCGAUAAGUAAUGUGAAUUGCAGAAUUCAGUGAAUCAUCGAAUCUUUGAACGCACCUUGCGCCCUUUGGUAUUCCGAAGGGCAUGCCUGUUUGAGUGUCAUUGAAUUAUCAACCUUGCUCGCUUUUACCGGCUUGAGUUAGGCUUGGACUCGAGGGCUUGCUGGCUUCCUUCAGUGGAUGGUCUGCUCCCUUUAAAUGCAUUAGUGGGAUCUCUUGUGGACCGUCACUUGGUGUGAUAAUUAUCUAUGCCACUUGACCUUGAAGCAAACCUUAUGGGAACCCGCUCAUAACCGUCUUCGGACAACUUUUGACAUUUUGACCUCAAAUCAGGUAGGACUACCCGCUGAACUUAAGCAUAUC
rnacentral:rRNA from 1 species